GAAGAGUCCAGGCACGGGUCGUCCCCAAGCACUACCCGCUAACGUCGUCCUACACGACACACUGUACAGAGCUACGCACUCUACCGGCUCCUAGGCACCUAGCGUGAGCCACUAGCCCUACGAGUGAUCUAUGGCCCGCUUCACACUUAGCCCUGCUAAAGUGCUACUGCCAAUUCACUCAACCGGCUGAACCGAAACCGCACUUCACGCGUAACUACACUCGAGCGCUCUACGUCUCUACAGCGUCUCGCACGAAGUCUAGCAUCAGGCAGCUUAGCCUAUUCACGCCGGCCACACGAGCAACAACUCGUCCUCCUCAGUUCGAGGUACUACUAGGCCCACAGGCCAAGUUCGGCGCUAAUCGACCAAUUU
rnacentral:lncRNA from 1 species